rnacentral:rRNA from 1 species
UACGGGGGGGGCAAGCGUUGUUCGGUAAUUACUGGGCGUAAAGGGCGCGUAGGCGGUCCGUUAAGUUAGAUGUGAAAACUCUGGGCUCAACCCAGAGCCUGCAUCUAAUACUGACGGGCUAGAGUUCUGGAGGGGGUAGCGGAAUUCCUGGUGUAGCGGUGAAAUGCGUAGAUAUCAGGAGGAACACCGGUGGCGAAGGCGGCUACCUGGACAGAAACUGACGCUGAGGCGCGAAAGCUAGGGGAGCAAACAGG